GGGUGAGUAAUAUAUUGAAAUAUACCUAUUAAAUUAGAAUAAAGAAAUGAAAAUUUCCUUAAAUCUUAAUAAAGUUAUUUAAUAAUAAAUAAUAAAAAAAACAAAUUGUUAAUAGAUUAGUCGAUAUCAGAUUAGUUAGUUGGUCGUGUAAAAGACAACCAAGACUAUUAUCUGUAGUUGUUCUGUGAGGAAGCACAGCCACAUUGGGACUGAGACAAGGCCCAAACCCCUACGGGGGGCAGCAGUGAGGAAUAUUGGACAAUGAGCUAAAGCUUGAUCCAGCAAUACCGCGUGUGUGAAGAAGGUAUUUUUACUGUAAAGCACUUUUUUUUAGGAAUAACACCCCUGAAUGUACUAGAAGAAUAAGCACCGGCUAAUUACGUGCCAGCAGCCGCGGUAAUACGUAAGGUGCGAGCGUUAAUCGGAAUUAUUGGGCGUAAAGCGUGUGUAGGCUGUUUUUUAUGAAAAAAAUUAAAAAUUGAAUCUCAACUUCAUUAUGUUUUUUUUACUAAUUUACUUGAGUAUAAAAGAGGAGAGUAGAAUUCUAUGUGUAGCGGUGAAAUGCGUAAAUAUAUAGAGGAAUACCAAUAGCGAAGGCAACUCUCUGGGUUAAUACUGACGCUGAGACACUAAAGCGUGGGUAGCGAACAGGAUUAGAUACCCUGGUAGUCCACGCCCUAAACGAUGUCAACUAAUUAUCAGUUUUGGUAGUGAAGCUAACGCGUUAAGUUGACCGCCUGGGGACUACGAUCGCAAGAUUAAAACUCAAAGGAAUUGACGGGGACCCGCACAAGCGGUGGAUGAUGUGGAUUAAUUCGAUGCAACACGAAGAACCUUACCUACUCUUGACAUGUAUAGAAUUUUUUCGAAAGAAUAAAGUGCCUAUAACACAGGUGCUGCAUGGCUGUCGUCAGCUCGUGUCGUGAGAUGUUUGGUUAAGUCCUAUAACGAGCGUAACCCUUUUUUUUUGUUGCUACGGCACUCAAAAAAUACUGCUAAUGAAAAGUUAGAGGAAGGAGAGGAUGACGUCAAGUCCUCAUGGCCCUUAUGAGUAGGGCUUCACACGUCAUACAAUGGUUAAUACAAUUAGAUGCAAACUCGUGAGAGUUAGCAAAUCUUUAAAAUUAAUCUCAGUCCGAAUUGCACUCUGCAACUCGAGUGCAUGAAGUUGGAAUCGCUAGUAAUCGCAGAUCAGAAUGCUGCGGUGAAUACGUUCUCGGGUCUUGUACACACCGCCCGUCACACCAUGGAAGUAAGUUUUGUUGGAAAUAAUUUUU
rnacentral:rRNA from 1 species